rnacentral:rRNA from 1 species
GAUGAACGCUGGCGGCGUGCCUAAUACAUGCAAGUCGAGCGAACAGACGAGGAGCUUGCUCCUUCGACGUUAGCGGCGGACGGGUGUGUAACACGUAGGUAACCUACUUAUAAGUCUGGGAUAACUUCGGGAAACCGGAGCUAAUCCCGGAUAAUAUUUUGCACCGCAUGGUUCGAUAGUGAAAGAUGGCUUUGCUAUCACUUAUAGAUGGACCUGCGCGGUAUUAGCUAGUUGGUAAGGUAACGGCUUACCAAGGCAACGAUACGUAGCCGACGUGAGAGAGGGGUCGGCCACACGGGAACUGGAACGCGGACCAGGCUCCUACGGUAGGCAGCAGUAGGGAAUCGGCCGCAAUAGGGGAAAGCAUGGCGGAGCAAGGCGGCGUGAGUGAUGAAGGUCUUCGGAUCGUAAAACUCUGUUAUUAGGGAAGAACAAACGUGUAAGUAACUGUGCACGGCGUGACGGUACCUAAUCAGAAAGCCACGGCUAACUACGUG